GGAGGCGAAUUUGGUCCGGUGACCUUCCCGGCCUUCAAAGCCGGCGUUUCGGUCCUUCGCGGAUCGAAAGGUGGGUUCGACUCCCACACGCUUCCGCCA
rnacentral:tRNA from 1 species